GACCUGGUGGUGAAAUGAAUCACACCCACUCUUACUAUGACUUCGUUUUACAAUGCAUUUGUGGGAGAUUCCUGGUUUGAAUCCAGGCCAGGUCA